UAUAAUGAUGACUCCAUUGAGUGUGGAUAUUGUCUAGAUGACAAUAUUUGUAUUAAAACUCACAACAUAUGUUUUAUCGUAUUUUACACGACUGUUGUAUAAUUAGUUGUAUUUGUAUUCUGUACCAUGUAUCUGGCGACCCAAGAUGGGUGAUGUCUACCUAAUUUUGGGGGCGUCACAUUUGACUCCUCGCUGGGGUUAUCGCCGAUUUGAGUUCAAAGUAGACGUUGCUCAGGGUUACAUCUGAGAUUGGACUACUUGUUGGUAUGUCGCGAUAUCAUCUUGUUGAGACGGUAAAAUGACUUGCUGACUCCUCACCGGGGUUAUCGCCGGUUUAAGCGGAAAGCAGACGUUGCUCAGGGUUACAUCUGAGAUUGGACUGCUUGUUUGUAUGCCUCACUGUCAUCUGUGGAUGUGCCUGUCUGCCCGUUGUUAGCUCCGGGUCAGAGGUGUGAGUGCCUCAACAGGAUGUUUGAAGCUGAUUGCAUGUGUUUGAAACAAGCAUUUCCGGGCUUAUCGCUGGAACUGCAAUGGCAUCCCUUGGGGCUAUCACCAAGGAUGGAGUUGCUACUCCCAGUGUUGUUUCUGGGACUGGAACUAAACGUCGCGGUGUUAUCGCCGGGACAGAACUGUCCUCUCUGGUGUUGUUGCUGUCUUUUGAUCUGCAUACCUCGGGGUUAUCUCUGAGAUUGGAAAUGACACUCCCGGUGUGUGUUCCGGAGUUGAGAUGACAUUCCCGGUUUGUGUUCCAGGUUGGAACUGAUGUUCCCGGUUUGUGUUCCGGGUUGGAACUGAACUUCCGGUAGUAUCCAGAAUGGGUGUAAGCUGUCCUCCAGGGUUAUCUCCGAAAGACAAAUCUACCCUCCUGCAAUGUUAAUAAUAGGAGUGAAAAAAAAUUUCGAGUGUCUACAGAAGUAUUUUUAGAAAGUAUAAAACCUCUAUUUUAGCUUCAAUAGGGUACCCAGAACAGUGGUUAAAAAUAGCUUGACACACUGAAUUUCAACCAUUAGUUUUGGUUUGAAAUUAAAUUUCAUUUUAAUUUAGUAAGCUUAAACUUUCCAAUUAUCAUCAUAUGUGGUGUACGUAUCCAGCCCAAGUUUUAAUUCUAUCAAAUAACCAACUUUUAAGCAAAACAAUCCAUUAGGGACUUUUAUCAAACAACUAAUGUGCAGAGUUUAAAACUACUUGUGUCAUAGCUAUUUGCUUGUGUUAAAAAUCCAUUUUAUCACCCUUAUACCUCCACACAACCAACCUAUCUCCUCCAAUCUUAGUUCUAGUCAUAGCAAUUCAUAUAACAUUCAGAUUUCUAUAUUAACCAAUACAUACAAACUAGUUAAUUCAAGUUCCUUUUAUACUAUCACAUUUGCUUCUAAUGUAUGCAAUAUAAGCUAAUAUCAUCUCUAUAGACAUCACUAUUAACCUUACUCAUAUAAUACCACUAUCAAUUGGAAAUUCCAAUACAUAAUCAAAACAACACAUUCUCAACCAAAUUGAUACUUGUCUUACUACUAGCUAAUUGCAUAGAAACAAGUAAAAAAACAUGUAAUUUGAAUUACCUUAGUACUUAGAUAACUUCUGUAGUAAAACUCCCUUUUUGCUUCCCUCGCCUGAGUUCUCUCUCUCUCUCUCUCUCUCUCUAUAUAUAUAUAUAUAUAUAUAUAUAUAUAUAUGCUACUGAUUUGGAAAUUCUGGAAUUGAAGAAGUUAGCCGAUUCUAGGCUCUGUGUUUGGCCUUAUAUGGCUGAGUUCUCUUCUUUAGUCAGUCCCUGCUCGACCACUAAGCGUGGCCCCUAUUUUCCCUCAUAAUUGAUGCUACCUAUCUACACAUUGAUCUCCAUUCAUCCCCCUGACAUAACCUGCUUCUAGCAGUCAAUUGGCCUCUAUUAAGCUUAGCUGACACCCUUCACUUGGCCCCUAAAUUGAGCUCUAGGUUAUCUACUUUUGCAGGCUACUUGACUCCUACCUUCCAGUCAUAUCCUCAGUCACCCUACAAGUCCCUAGCCUCUAAUUGGAUUAUUAACUAACUAAAAUAAUUAGAUAACUUACUGACCAAUUAACUAACCCAGCUAAUUCCCUGCCUACUUAUUUCAUUCGGGC
rnacentral:lncRNA from 1 species